AGCUCAAGAGCUCCAGGUUUAGGGCCUGGAAGAUGCGGGUUCGAAUCCCGU
rnacentral:tRNA from 1 species